GGGGAAUAUUGCACAAUGGAGGAAACUCUGAUGCAGCAACGCCGCGUGAGUGAUGAAGGUCUUCGGAUUGUAAAGCUCUGUCUUCUGGGACGAUAAUGACGGUACCAGAGGAGGAAGCCACGGCUAACUACGUGCCAGCAGCCGCGGUAAUACGUAGGUGGCAAGCGUUGUCCGGAUUUACUGGGCGUAAAGGAUGUGUAGGCGGAUAUUUAAGUGGGAUGUGAAAUACUCGGGCUUAACCUGGGUGCUGCAUUCCAAACUGGAUAUCUAGAGUGCAGGAGAGGAAAGUAGAAUUCCUAGUGUAGCGGUGAAAUGCGUAGAGAUUAGGAAGAAUACCAGUGGCGAAGGCGGCUUUCUGGACUGUAACUGACGCUGAGGCAUGAAAGCGUGGGGAGCAAAC
rnacentral:rRNA from 1 species